UGUGGGAGCUGGCUUGCCUGCGAUACCGGUGUGCCAGCCAACCAUCUGGCACUGAUACACCGCCAUCGCAGGCAAGCCAGCUCCCACA
rnacentral:antisense_RNA from 1 species